ensembl:lncRNA
AAGAGUCUGCUCUUCAGUGAACAAGGGUACUUGCAUGGGGAAUUUGGAGUGAUAAAUUCUUAGUUGCUACUGAGCUGAAUUGUUUGAAGAUCUGCCUGGAAAAGUACUUCAGAAAGUGUCAAAUGACAAUUUUAAUAAGAAAUUGUUUCUGGUAACCGAGAUUUAAUAAAGAGAUUGAGUAGCAGAUGAGAAGUUGGUUUAAAGAAUCAAACAGCUACAAGAAGCUAGACUUCUCCAGCGUAUGGAUUUCAGUGUACAUUUCGAAUAGAUAACAACAUACCACAGAGAUUCAGGUUUAGCACAUCUUAGAUAAAGUAAGAUGAAUAUUCCAGAAUGACUGCAAAUGCAAUGCACAUGGUGUAUGUAGUAUGUGGUUAAAUUGGGCGAGAGAAAGUUAGUCAAAAUACCCCAUCUAAUAUGGAGCAUGUUUUCUAAGCUUCCUUAUAUGCUUACAACAUCCAGGGUUCUUUCCUUAAUAUCUUUGCAGAAAUCCAUAAAAUUCACAUCUUAGUGUUCUGCAUCUUAAAUGAUAAUCUUGAAAUCUCUAAACAGAUUUUCGUGCACUGAUGAUAUAUGCAUAAAACAAUGUCAAUUUUGGAUUAAGCCCUUACUUUUUGCGUAGCUGCUUCAGAUCCAGUUUUAAGAGCAGAUCAAAGUGCUUCAAUUCCAGUUAAUGUUUCUAUUGGGAAGGGAAGCUAGGAAAGGAAUCAGAUGUGAAUUCUACUCCGGACUCAGCAUAGAAGCAUAGUAACUGAAAAACCAAAUUUGGAAAACUUAAUGAAAAAAACUAUUCCUUUUAUAAGCUGUUACAGGCUUACUUGUUUUCUUGUCUACUAUACACUACUUCACAGUAUCAUGUCUGCUUUAUGAUUUUACGUAAUAUAUGAUAGCUGGCUGUCACCAUUGCUGGGAUUACUGCUGCGUAUGUAAAUGAGAAUUUUUGUCAGCCCUCUUGUUUUAAUGAGCUCUUCUAAUUACUAUGUGAAGAACCACAUGAAUGGAGCUGAGAUGAUGACUAGAUGAACUAACAGUCACAGCACUGGAACCCAGAUCCUUCACUACUAGGGAGUAUCAUAGCUCUGUAUGGAGUUACUCUCUUGAAUUCAGCCAUAGAAACUCCUGAAUAAAGUGCCAGUGAAAAAUGUUGUUUCUUGACACUUUACAAUGCAUUGCAGCAUUUUGCUGUUAUUGUAAUCCAGACUGCUGAAUUCUUCAGUACAGCAGACAUUGUAGUGUUAUGCAGUACACUUGCUACUGCAUUUAUUUGUGUGUUUUAUUUCCCUCUUGUAUGGUCUGUGUAUUGUAUCGUUUAUUUGAGGUAUAGCAUAUGUAUAUGAAGAAAGAGAAUGUAUAUAAUAUUUGCACUAAAAUGUGUGAAUAUAUACAUUUGUGAUGAAUUUGGACUGUAAAACCAAAUAUUAGAGUGGCUAAAAAAGAUAUUAUCAUUUCAAUUUUGAAACAGCCACUGCCCACAAGCACUGUGCUGACUUAUCUCUCAGUAAUUUACACAGCUGUCUAACUUUGGAAAAAAUAGCACUACUUUAAGAUAAACCUGUGAGAUUUACAAACAGAACAGCUCAAAGCAGUUGCAAAAUAAAAUCAAAUGUUUGAUGAUUUUAAAGAAAGAAGAAAUGUAGUAAAAGUGAUAGUAAGUAUUCAUAAUAAUAAUGCUAAUGCUAAUAAUACUAAUAACCAUUAUAAUAAAAAUAAUUAAUUUGCAUUUCAGGGAGCACAGAUUUUCCUGAAAGACCUCAUGGUGUAUUGAAUUAAACAGUGUUUGAACAUAACAAAGUAAUAUCUGAAUACAACAGGACAAAACUUUUCAAAAGUCUCCAAAGUCAAGCUGGAUAGGCAAAUAUCAUGAGACUGAAAUGGUAUUUAAGGACCAGGGUCCUCUACUUACUUGGUCACUAAUGCUUGUAGAGCCCAAGUUCCUCAUGACCACAGGAGGUGUAAAAAAUACUUCUUUUUACAUCCAUAUUUUGAAACACCCUUUAUUGCAUGAUUUAUUGUGACAACAGUAAAUCACAGUUGGAAGCUCAAACAGGAAGUAGACAGGCAUUUGCUUUCCUAGCAAUUUAAUCUCACGGGUACUUUUGGAAAAUAUUCUUUAUCUGUCAAAAGCACUCUGAAAGGAUUAGCCUUCUAAAACUAGAGUUAUUACCUUUCUUUUCAAAUG